GACAGGAGGGGCAAGCGUUGUCCGGACUGACUGGGCGUAAAGCGCGCGCAGGCGGUCUCGGGCGUCGGUGCUGAAAGUCCACCGCUUAACGGUGGGAUGCGUGCCGAUACGCCGAGACUGGAGGGUGGGCGAGGGUGGUGGAAUUGCCGGUGUAGUGGUGAAAUGCGUAGAGAUCGGCAGGAACACCCGUGGUGAAAACGGCCACCUAGCCCAUACCUGACGCUGAGGCGCGACAGCGUGGGGAGCGAACGGG
rnacentral:rRNA from 1 species